CAAUUACACAGCGAAACUGCGAAGGGCUCAUUCUAUAAGUUAUCGUUUAUUUGAUAGUACCUUACUACUUGGAUAACCGUGGUAAUUUCUAGAGCUAAUACACGCUAAAAAUCCCGACUUCGGAAGGGAUCGUAUUUAUUAGAUUAAAAACCAAUGCCCUCUGGGCUCUCUGGUGAUUCAUGAUAACUUCUCGAAUCGCAUGGCCUUGCGCCGGCGAUGGUUCAUUCAAAUUUCUUCCCUAUCAACUUUCGAUGUUUGGGUAUUGGCCAAACAUGGUCGCAACGGGUAACGGAGGGUUAGGGCUCGACCCCGGAGAAGGAGCCUGAGAAACGGCUACUACAUCCAAGGAAGGCAGCAGGCGCGCAAAUUACCCAAUCCCGACACGGGGAGGUAGUGACAAUAAAUACUGAUACAGGGCUCUUUCGGGUCUUGUAAUUGGAAUGAGUACAAUUUAAAUCCCUUAACGAGGAACAAUUGGAGGGCAAGUCU
rnacentral:rRNA from 1 species